AGGAUGAACGCUGGCGGCGUGCCUAAUACAUGCAAGUCGAGCGCCCUGCACAGUGCGCUUCUUGCCUCGAGAGAGGAUAAGAAGAAGCGUAGCGUGCAGGGAGCGGCGGACGGCUGAGUAACACGUAGGAACGUACCCCAAAGUGAGGGAUAAGCACCGGAAACGGUGUCUAAUACCGCAUGUGCUCUUCGGAGUAAAGCUUCGGCGCUUUGGGAACGGCCUGCGCAUGAUUAGCUUGUUGGUGAGGUAAAAGCUCACCAAGGCGACGAUCAUUAGCUGGUCUGAGAGGAUGAUCAGCCAGACUGGGACUGAGAACGGCCCAGACUCCUACGGGAGCAGCAGUAGGGAAUUUUCCACAAUGGG
rnacentral:rRNA from 1 species